rnacentral:lncRNA from 1 species
GUUGCAAUUAUAAAUAAAAUCGUAGAAUUCAGUCGAAAAUUUGAUACUUUUUACAUUGAAAUCAAUUGAAAAAGAUUCAUUUUCUUGUGCUAAAAGAUACAGAGUAAAUAUAUAUGCGGUGUAUAUAAACCAAUCAUUUUUAUGGAUUUUAUACGGUCAAGAAAUGGUAUCGAGAGACUUCGCAAGAAGGCCACUGACAGGUUUUAUAGAGGAUCUAGAUUAUUACAAACUAUUCGAUGUUUUUAUAAUAUUAAAAUAUGUAGAAUGCUUUAU